ACCACUUGGGUCGAGUACCGUUCUUAAUCCGUCCCAAUACUGCGUCGUUUUGAGUAUUAGGGUU
rnacentral:sRNA from 1 species